rnacentral:rRNA from 1 species
AUUGAACGCUGGCGGAAUGCUUUACACAUGCAAGUCGAACGGCAGCACGGACUUCGGUCUGGUGGCGAGUGGCGAACGGGUGAGUAAUGUAUCGGAACGUGCCCAGUCGUGGGGGAUAACGUAGUGAAAAUUACGCUAAUACCGCAUACGAUCUAUGGAUGAAAGCGGGGGAUCGCAAGACCUCGCGCGAUUGGAGCGGCCGAUAUCAGAUUGGGUAGUUGGUGGGGUAAAGGCCCACCAAGCCAACGAUCUGUAGCUGGUCUGAGAGGACGACCAGCCACACUGGAACUGAGACACGGCCCAGACUCCUACGGGAGGCAGCAGUGGGGAAUUUUGGACAAUGGGCGAAAGCCUGAUCCAGCCAUUCCGCGUGCAGGAUGAAGGCCCUCGGGUUGUAAACUGCUUUUGUACAGAACGAAAAGGUUUCUACUAAUACUAGGAGCUCAUGACGGUACUGUAAGAAUAAGCACCGGCUAACUACGUGCCAGCCGCCGCGGUAA